rnacentral:tRNA from 1 species
GCUCUGUUCGUAUAACGGUAGUACGCCUGACUUUCUAUCAGGAAACAGGGGUUCGAUUCCCCUACAGAGUACAA